rnacentral:rRNA from 1 species
AUACAUAGGGGGCAAGCGUUAUCCGGAAUUAUUGGGCGUAAAGAGGGAGCAGGCGGCAGCAAGGGUCUGUGGUGAAAGCCUGAAGCUUAACUUCAGUAAGCCAUAGAAACCAGGCAGCUAGAGUGCAGGAGAGGAUCGUGGAAUUCCAUGUGUAGCGGUGAAAUGCGUAGAUAUAUGGAGGAACACCAGUGGCGAAGGCGACGAUCUGCCCGUGAACUGACGCUCAGUCCCGAAAGCGUGGGGAGCAAAUAGGAUGAGAUUCCCUAGUAGUCCACGCCGUAAACGAUGAGUACUAAGUGUUGGAUGUCAAAGUUCAGUGCUGCAGUUAACGCAAUAAGUACUCCGCCUGAGUAGUACGUUCGCAAGAAUGAAACUCAAAGGAAUUGACGGGG